UACGUAGGGUGCGAGCGUUGUCCGGAAUUAUUGGGCGUAAAGGGCUCGUAGGCGGUUUGUCGCGUCGGAAGUGAAAACUCAGGGCUUAACCCUGUUCGUGCUUCCGAUACGGGCAGACUAGAGGUAGGCAGGGGAGAACGGAAUUCCUGGUGUAGCGGUGGAAUGCGCAGAUAUCAGGAGGAACACCGGUGGCGAAGGCGGUUCUCUGGGCCUAUUCUGACGCUGAGGAGCGAAAGCAUGGGGAGCGAACAGGAUUAGAAACCCCCGUAGUCC
rnacentral:rRNA from 1 species